rnacentral:rRNA from 1 species
AGGGUUUGAUCCUGGCUCAGGAUGAACGCUGGCGGCGCGCCUAACACAUGCAAGUCGAACGGACGAUGCCCCUUCGGGGACAAAGUCAGUGGCGGACGGGUGAGUAACGCGUGAGUAACCUGCCCUUAUGAGUGGAAUAACGUCCGGAAACAGACGCUAAUACCGCAUAACGCAGCGAUACGGCAUCGUAUUGCUGCCAAAGAUUUAUCGCAUAAGGAUGGACUCGCGUCCCAUUAGAUAGUUGGCGGGGUAACGGCCCACCAAGUCAGCGAUGGGUAGCCGGACUGAGAGGUUGACCGGUCACAUUGGAACUGAGAGACGGUCCAG